AACAAGUAACAGGAUGAGAGGACACAGCCUCAAGCUGCGCCAGGGGAGGUUUAGAUUGGACAUUAGGAGGAAUUUCUUCACAGAAAGGGGGCUUAGACAUUGGAAUGGGCUGCUCAGGGAGGUGUGGAGUCAUCAUCCUUGGAGAUGUUGAAGCAGAGCCUGGACGUGGCACUCAGUGCCAUGGGCUGGGUGCCAAGGUGGGGUUGGGGCACGGAUUGGACUCAAUGAUCUCAGAGGUCUUUUCCAACCUAGUUGAUUGUGAUUCUGUGUCCCAAACAAUGGUGUGUCCCAGUGACUUGGACCUUUCUCUUCAUGACGUCCCCAGCUUGGCUCUUCCUCCCCUCAUUACUCUUGUCCUAAUUAACAAACCACAGUGAAGCUUCUCUUUCUCACAGCCAGAUAUGGCCUGGUGUUGGCUCUGCCUCAUCUGUGCAUUGCCCUUGUUGCCUAAAAUCAGAGAAAUAAUUCUCUGGACAGUUUUGAGUACAGAAAGGUAGAAAGCAGCACUUUAACUGUGGUGCCUUUGGUGUACAAACUGUACUGCACACGCCCACAGUACAGGCCUUUACAAUUUUUAUAAUACCAUCUAAUUACAAUAUCUAGGCAUUACCUCAUUAGUUACACCCAGCCCCAAAACUGUCUGUCCCAUUGUCCCACCCUCAGACACACCUCCCAAAUUUGAGUCAGUGGUGGCAAAACAACCACCCUUUCAUCCCUGUCCUCCUCCUCAUCAUCAUCUCUGUCCUGCUUGCAACAGCUUCAAGGCUCCUGAGCAGUUUUGACUUGGUUAUAUCAAAUGGUGUGAUCCUGUUAUGUCUUAUUCCGAGUACAUUUUCUCCAGAUAAGCUGUUUUUCACCUUGCUCAAAUCUCGGUCCGUUGGAAUCCUCGGCAAGGAACGUUAAACAUUUUCGGAAAUCUCGUACAGAGGUGCUAAAAGUGCCACACUAAAAGAGCUAAACUAAAAUUGGAUGUGACACAGAGUUGAAGGCAUCACCCUCGAGCCUGUUGCAGGGCCUCCUGACCAUGGUUGAGCACCAAAAGCCUCCUGAUAACCCGAGGACUCUGUCACAGCGAGCUCCGUUCGCACCGAGCUGGCACCGCUCCCACCCACCGCCUUCCCCACCUCCGAAGGAGUCUGGAGCUCAGCAAGGGGAAGGAACAUUCCAUAGAAGGGAAGAGAUCUCUGCCAGGCUCUGCAGAAAUGGGACACAGAUGGUGCCUUAAAUGAGAGCGGAAGUUUAUUUGGGGGCCCUGCUCGUGACGUCGCGCUGCAGAUCCCGCAGCAGAUGACAGACACCAGCAUCUCAGAGAGGAGCCCACGGAAGGAUCUGGAGUUAUCCAUGGAGCCUGGCUAAUCUGUGCACACCAAUCUGUCUCUCUCCACCCAGGGAAUGGGAGCCUGGCAGAUUCAUGCCGUGAGAUGGGACAGGUUUGCCCAACCCACCAACUUAUCCUGCAAAUAAUUCGCUCCCAGAGCGAUCUCCCAUCUUUCCCCAGCUCCAAAUUCACGUCUUCCCAAAAUACUUCUGUGAAAUGCACGAAGGAGCAAUUCAGUGACUACAGAUCCUACAAGUCCAGCUUGACUCAGCCUGCAGGGACUGAAAACUCUUCCUGGUUUAUUUUCCCACAUUUGGAUGCUGAAGGAAGUAAGAGAAAGGGUUGCAGAGCCAGAUGGUUUAUCAGCUGAUGAUUAUUGUGUGGCCCAUCACAAGUGUUCCCUUGUAAGUAAAGCUUUGCUUUGAAGGGUUAUUAAAGCCUGGAGUGCAGCUUUGCUCCAGGCUUAGUUUUCCUUCAAAGACUCUUGUCUUUGAAGGCAAAUCAAAAUAAUCCAGUGUCUAUUUUGAAACAUCAGUGCCUCUGAUUCUGUGAAAUGGUGUUGUUCUGUUCUUCUCUUAAGAGCUGGGAGCUAUUUAGUUCAGCAGCACUGGCGAUCAACAAAUUCCUGGAAGGCCAGAUGGGGACAGCAGCGUGACAGGUAGCAAAGAACACAGGAGAAGACUCAGUAGGACAUUUUUUACUGCAAGCCCAGGAGGUUGGAAAAUGUUCCUGGGGUGGGAUUCGUCUCACUUGAUUUCUCGGAGGGCAAAAAGGCAAAUCACUAAACCUGACCUAAACAUAGAAUGGUUUGGGUCGGUAGGGACCUUCAGGAUUACUUAAUCCCAACCCUCUACCAUAGACAGGGGCACCUUCCACUAGUCCAGGUUGCUCAGUCACCAGAUAGAGCCCACAGAAAUCAAAUGCUGAUUUCCAAAAUUGAAUCCGCCUUCAAAAUCCAAAUGAAAAAUUUCAGAAGUCGACUCUGGAGGUCUCUGUGUGACACCUGGGGCGUUGUCAGCAUGUUCUCCUGGCAACCUGGGCACCCCCUUUCCAGCAGCAGACCAUAAAUGCGUCAAGAUCAGCUUUGUUGGGAGUUACAGCUCCCUCCCUGCAGCCAGGAAUGAAAUAACCCCUUAAGUGCAAAUAAGAAAAGUUAUUUCCACUCCUGAGUUCAGCUCAAACUCUGGUGAAGUUCCUGCCCAGAGGAGCCAGGUUAUGUCUUCCCGUGGGGUUUUCCAGAAUCCAGUGCAAAGAUGGGCUGAGUCCUAUCAAAAAUUCUUCUCCAAAUCAAAUCACAACCAAUAGCCCAGACCACUUUGAGGUCUGCACAAAUCUCAUCCAACUCUUCCUGAGUUUUUUGGGGCGGGGGUCUCCGAAUUGGGGUUUAGGUCAAAGUGGCUCGAAGGAGACAAAGCACAUCAAAGGCUUCUCAAGGCCAGUGGUGCCACCUAAUGGGAAAAUUCCCAGGGAAUGAGUUCCUCGGAAGUGAAAGCCCUUAUCUGGAGUGUUGCUAGGUGACGUCGAGAUGGAAAUCAGGAGCCCUGACGUAAGUCCCUCUUUUCUGCUGCUUUACGACCAUUCCUCCGUCAAUCCAGUCCCUUUUUCCCCAGCAUCCGAGCCACACGCGCGGGAUCGCCCUGGGAAUUUCGGGUUAUUUCCUGCUUUUAAAUCCAUUCUCAGCAAUGCCCUGAAGCUGCCAAAGGGAUUUUGUCCUUCUUGACGCUCGGCGUGGAGAGGAAAUUAUCCCAGAUUUUUGGAAUAUGAAGAGCCAGGCAGAAAACAAGAGGGAAUGAAGGAGUACCAUGGGAGAGACCAGGAAUCUGUGGGUUUUAUCGUUAGUUACAGGUUUUGAAAAUGAGAGGUGAUGCAGGCUCUGCACUGCAACCUCCCCACGCUGCUGCAGCUCAGAUCCCUCUGGAAUCACACUGUGGCUGUGCAAAAAAAAGGGAUAAUAUCUCAAAAGUUCCCAAAUGGUAACUCCCUGCAGCCCCUCCAAAUCAUAAAUAAUCAUGAGAGUAGGCAGAAAUGAAGUGGGAAGCCUGUCCUGGUCUCAAGGGAUUAAUAUGUUCCCUGACUGUGUUGUCUUCCCAACACCUCCACCUGUUUUUCCCUGACAGUCACUCACCACCAUCCCCCGUUCCCUUUAUUUUUCAGGAGUGUGUUACAGGGUUAGAGCAGGGUCUGGAUCAUUCUCAGGUCUCAUCUCACCUCUACCAUCAAUAAAUCCAAAGUUUUAAACUGUC